GACGAACGCUGGCGGCGUGCUUAACACAUGCAAGUCGAACGGAAAGGCCCUGCUUUUGUGGGGUGCUCGAGUGGCGAACGGGUGAGUAACACGUGAGUAACCUGCCCUUGACUUUGGGAUAACUUCAGGAAACUGGGGCUCAUACCGGAUAGGAGCUCCUGCUGCACGGUGGGGGUUGGAAAGUUUCGGCGGUUGGGGAUGGACUCGCGGCUUAUCCGCUUGUUGGUGGGGUAGUGGCUUACCAAGUCUUUGACGGGUAGCCGGCCUGAGAGGGUGGACGGCGACAUUGGUACUGAGAGACGGACCAGACUCCUACGUGAGGCAGUAGUGGGAAGUAUUGCACAACGGGCGGAAGCCUGAUGCAGCAGCGCCGGGUGCGGGAUGACGGCCUUCGGGUUGUAAACCGCUUUCGCCUGUGACGAAGCGUGAGUGACGGUAAUGGGUAAAGAAGCACCGGCUAACUACGUG
rnacentral:rRNA from 1 species